UGUAUUUCCAAUUGUUAUGAAUAUAGGAAUGUGCCAGAAUUUAUAACCAGACAUACUCAAAUCAUUGGCUGGAAGCCUCAGGAGACCUCAGCUGAGCACAAAGAUGCAACGCCAAGUAAGGAUUCAAAUAUGCCUGGGCAUAUCUGGAAGACCGGUGAGACCAGCCCGCAGGGUCGAUUUGCAGGAUAGACUGAAUCACCUUCUGAGAAAGAAAACUCACUUUGAAGAGGAUGUCAGAAAAUCUAGUCCUUGAGUGUGACAGGACCAUUAGCUUGCAAGAAAAUGCAAUUGUGAACUGCUGACUGGUUAAAGAUGAAGAGGAGGGAACAAAAGAUAUGGAGAAGGUAAUAGUUCCUGGUAUAACUCCUGACACUAUAUGACAUGAAUGGCUGUUGGAUUUGCUUUGUUCAAUAAAGAAAAAGGAGGUUAAAAGGUUAACUAGCUAUCUGACUGAUUUGAAAGACCAAAGAAAAAUAUCUGAUCUGUUAUUCUAGUGAAUGGACAGCUU